rnacentral:rRNA from 1 species
GAUGAACGCUGGCGGCGUGCCUAAUACAUGCAAGUCGAGCGAACAGAUGAGGAGCUUGCUCCUCUGACGUUAGCGGCGGACGGGUGAGUAACACGUGGAUAACCUACCUAUAAGACUGGGAUAACUUCGGGAAACCGGAGCUAAUACCGGAUAAUAUAUUGAACCGCAUGGUUCAAUAGUGAAAGUCGGUUUUGCUGUCACUUAUAGAUGGAUCCGCGUCGCAUUAGCUAGUUGGUAAGGUAACGGCUUACCAAGGCAACGAUGCGUAGCCGACCUGAGAGGGUGAUCGGCCACACUGGAACUGAGACACGGUCCAGACUCCUACGGGAGGCAGCAGUAGGGAAUCUUCCGCAAUGGGCGAAAGCCUGACGGAGCAACGCCGCGUGAGUGAUGAAGGCCUUCGGAUCGUAAAACUCUGUUAUUAGGGAAGAACAAAUGUGUAAGUAACUAUGCACGUCUUGACGGUACCUAAUCAGAAAGCCACGGCUAACUACGUG